rnacentral:rRNA from 1 species
UACGUAGGGGGCGAGCGUUGUCCGGAUUUAUUGGGCGUAAAGAGCUCGUAGGCGGUUUGGCAAGUCGGGUGUGAAAACUCCGGGCUCAACUCGGAGACGCCACUCGAUACUGCCAUGACUCGAGUCCGGUAGGGGAGUGCGGAAUUCCUGGUGUAGCGGUGGAAUGCGCAGAUAUCAGGAGGAACACCGGUGGCGAAGGCGGGUCUCUGGGCAGUAACUGACGCUGAGGAGCGAAAGCGUGGGGAGCGAACAGG